rnacentral:rRNA from 1 species
UGCCCGAAUCCUGACACAGGGAGGUAGUGACAAGAAAUAACAAUACAGGGCUAAUCUAGUCUUGUAAUUGGAAUGAGUACAAUUUACAUCUCUUCACGAGGAUCAAUUGGAGGGCAAGUCUGGUGCCAGCAGCCGCGGUAAUUCCAGCUCCAAUAGCGUAUAUUAAAGUUGUUGCAGUUAGAACGCUCGUAGUCGGAUUUCGGGGCGGGCCGACCGGUCUGCCGAUGGGUAUGCACUGGCCGGCGCGUCCUUCCUCUCGGAGACCGUUCCUACUCUUAACUGAGCGGGAGCGGGAGACGGGACUUUUACUUUGAAAAAAUCAGAGUGUUUCAAGCAGGCAGCUCGCUCUUGCAUGGAUUAGCAUGGGAUAAUGAAAUAGGACUUUGGUGCUAUUUUGUUGGUUUCGAACACCGAAGUAAUGAUGAGAAGGGACAGUCAGGGGCACUCGUAUUCCGCCGAGAGAGGUGAAAUUCUCAGACCAGCGGAAGACGAACCACUGCGAAAGCAUUUGCCAGGGAUGUUUUCACUGAUCAAGAACGAAAGUUAGGGGAUCGAAGACGAUCAGAUACCGUCGUAGUCUUAACCAUAAACCAUGCCGACUAGGGAUCGGAGGAUGUUCACAUAUUGACUCCUUCGGCACCUUACGGGAAACUAAAGUCUUUGGGUUCCGGGGGGAGUAUGGUCGCAAGGCUGAAACUUAAAGGAAUUGACGGAAGGGCACCACCAGGUGUGGAGCCUGCGGCUUAAUUUGACUCAACACGGGGAAACUUACCAGGUCCAG